AGUGAACGCUGGCGGUAGGCCUAACACAUGCAAGUCGAACGGCAGCGCAGUAAGAGCUUGCUCUUACGGGUGGCGAGUGGCGGACGGGUGAGGAAUACAUCGGAAUCUACUUUUUCGUGGGGGAUAACGUAGGGAAACUUACGCUAAUACCGCAUACGACCUACGGGUGAAAGCAGGGGAUCUUCGGACCUUGCGCGAUUGAAUGAGCCGAUGUCGGAUUAGCUAGUUGGCGGGGUAAAGGCCCACCAAGGCGACGAUCCGUAGCUGGUCUGAGAGGAUGAUCAGCAACACUGGAACUGAGACACGGUCCAGACUCCUACGGGAGGCAGCAGUGGGGAAUAUUGGACAAUGGGCGCAAGCCUGAUCCAGCCAUACCGCGUGGGUGAAGAAGGCCUUCGGGUUGUAAAGCCCUUUUGUUGGGAAAGAAAAGCAGCAGGUUAAUACCCCGCUGUUCUGACGGUACCCAAAGAAUAAGCACCGGCUAACUUCGUG
rnacentral:rRNA from 1 species